CCUACGGGGGGCAGCAGUGGGGAAUAUUGGACAAUGGGGGGAACCCUGAUCCAGCAAUGCCGCGUGUGUGAAGAAGGCCUUCGGGUUGUAAAGCACUUUCAGUAGGGAGGAAAGGUGCGUAGUUAAUACCUGCGCAAUUGACGUUACCUACAGAAGAAGCACCGGCUAACUCCGUGCCAGCAGCCGCGGUAAUACGGAGGGUGCGAGCGUUAUUCGGAAUUACUGGGCGUAAAGCGCACGCAGGCGGUUGCCCAAGUCAGAUGUGAAAGCCCCGGGCUUAACCUGGGAACUGCAUUUGAAACUGGGCGACUAGAGUAUGAACGAGAAAAGCGGAAUUUCCAGGGUAGCAGUGAAAUGCGUAGAUAUUGGAAGGAGCACCGAUGGCGAAGGCAGCUUUCUGGGUCGAUACUGACGCUCAUGUGCGAAAGCGUGGGGAGCAAACAGGAUUAGAUACCCGAGUAGUC
rnacentral:rRNA from 1 species